rnacentral:snRNA from 1 species
GUUCUCAAUUUAGCAUAUAUAUUAAAGUUAGAAAGUCAUAGGAAAGAUUAGCAUGGCCACUGCACAAGGAUGAUAUGAAAGGUAUUUGAUUUAU